rnacentral:rRNA from 1 species
UACGUAGGGUGCGAGCGUUAAUCGGAAUUACUGGGCGUAAAGCGUGCGCAGGCGGUUUUGUAAGUCUGACGUGAAAUCCCCGGGCUUAACCUGGGAAUUGCGUUGGAGACUGCAAGGCUGGAGUCUGGCAGAGGGGGGUAGAAUUCCACGUGUAGCAGUGAAAUGCGUAGAGAUGUGGAGAAACACCGAUGGCGAAGGCAGCCCCCUGGGUCAAGACUGACGCUCAUGCACGAAAGCGUGGGGAGCAAACAGG